CCAUGGAAGCUGUGAGCGCCCGAAGUCCGUGUCGCAACCUGGGCAACCAGGGGCAAGCGGCCGAAGGCGAGCGCAGUGACUGGGGCG
rnacentral:rRNA from 1 species